rnacentral:tRNA from 1 species
GGGCUGGGGCUCAGUGGUAGAGCACUCGCAUCGCACAUGUGAGGCGCUGGGUUCGAUCCUCAGCACCACA